AUCUAGCUAUAGAGUUCCAAAUAGAACGAAACUCUCGUCCUGGAU
rnacentral:hammerhead_ribozyme from 1 species